GGAGAGGCCGCGGCCAAGGGAGAGCUGCCAGCGGCUGGGAACGGGCUCCCCCCGCCAUCCUCCGCCCCCUCCCUCCGUGUGUUUGUUGUGCUUCGGCACCGUCCCGCCGGCGCGUCCCUCCGUGCGGCGGCCGCUGACAGCUCCCCCCGCGCCGCCGAGAAACUCCUGCCUCAACUCUGCGUGUGCGCGGGGGGUGCGGGGGUGUCCUCGCCGCCACCCGCUGAGAACCGUGUUUUCCUUCCCAAAAAAGAGGAGGGGAAGGGGGGGGCAUGACAAGGGAAAGCGACGAGGAACUACCGUCAGCGCACAGGGAGUACCCAGGCGACGCUGAAGGCAGCCGAGCGUCCUGGAAGGGAACGGACCCAAAAAGAAGGGGGAAGUCAGCAGGACGAGAGAGACACAUGGAUGAUGAUGAUGAGGAUGAAGAUGAGGAUGGUGAUGGGGAUCCCGAUGCUCCUCCUGCUCCCGCGGCUCCUCUCCUCCUCACCUCCGCCUCCUCCACCUCCGCCUCGCAUCGCUGGCCUCAGCCGCCGCCGACCAGCACAGUGCGACACAUAGACACAGCGACCGACCGCCCUCCUCCUCCUCCCCUGCCGCGGCCCCACACUGCGCCUGCCCCGCCCGCCCACCGCCCGUCCCCCGGCGCAGACACCCAUCCGCCGCCUCGCCGACCUCAGGGGCUGGGCUGGGGCCGCGCCGGGCUGCGGGGAAACCGCGGAGCGGGGCCCGGACGGGACGCGGCGCCACGGGGAGCUCCGCGCACCCCACCCCGCACCGCGCCCCGGCCGCUGCCCCAGCGCUCCCCCACCCUCUCCCCGCCCUUGUUAUUUCUUUUCAUUUAUUUCCCCGUGGAAAAGGAAAAGCCCCUUCUGGAUGCGAGCGGCCGCUCUCCGCACACGGGCUGCGCUCCGCAGGACGCGGCUCCGGGGGCAGCGCUCGGUGCCCGCCCCGGCGGCGCUCGCUCCCCCCGAGCCCCGCGCAGCCCCCGGGGAGGCGGCCGGAGCCCGGCGGCGGGAGCGCUCCCCCUUCCCCCGCCGCGCGUCUGCGGCUCGGGGCGGUGGAGGCGGGGGGAGCCGCGGGCGCCCCGGGGGAUGGGAAGGAGGGAGGGAGCAGAGUUCAGCGCUGUGUGCGAGGGAGACAAAGUCUGGGGAGCGUGGCCGCUUUCCAGCAGCUCCGGCUGGAACAGCUGCGGGCGCUCGGGGCGGGGGGGGCUCCCCGGGCAGGGGCCCGGCUGGCUGGCUGCCUGCCCGCCCGGCUGCGGGGCGGGGUUAAGCCUCAUUACACGGGAUUUAACGUGUCCCGGAGGCCAGCGGGGACUCGGGCUCCGAGGGGAGGCGGGGGAGCGCCGCGGCCUCGCAGCCGGAGAAAAGUCCGGCCACGGGGCGAGGAAGCGGCCGCGCCCCCGGACUUUCCUCCCGGGCGCUGCCCCGACGCGCUCCGCUGCCCGCGGCGGGAGCGGCUCCAGCGGAGCGCGGCCGCCGGCCCGGGGCCCCCGCGCCGGGCACCGCCCCAAGGGCACCCCUGAGCCGCCCCCGCGGGGCCCCAGCCCGGCCGGCUCUCCCUCCUUCCCUCCCUCCUUCCCUCCCGGGGCCGGAGCGGAGGGAGCGGGUUCGGGGCGCGGAUGCUGAAUCACGAACCGGCGCGCACGGACAGAGGAGCGGCGCGGUGACUCGCGCUUGGCGGGCGGGUUCGGGAACUUCGCCGGACUUGCAGACGUGGUGGGGAGCGAUAGCCCCAAGGGUGCGACUAAACACAUCUCGGGAGCCCCGCACGGAGCGUGUCACCCGUGGCCUUCGGGUUUCUGUUUGAAUCCCAGUUGACAAAAUGGCCUGGGGUAUCACACAGGCUGGCUGUGCGCGAGCAGACCCAGAGCACAUGCGCCACGGCCUGGGUGAGCCUCCGAUGUGUCAGAGCCACUCUGCGUGUGCAAAUUGAUUGGAGCUGUGACAUAGAAUGAUGCUGUUGAAUAUGUGCAGUUAUUAAGUACCCAGAAAGCAAAUUCACUGAGAACUGCUUCCCACCUGUGGAUUCCUCUGUUCAGCACAGAAUUAUUUUGGCAACUGAAGAAUUCUUCAUUGUGGAUGGCUGUGGGAAGAUAUUAAUCCUGUUCUUCAAGUAAGAUGCAUUCACUGAUCUACUAGACCUGCUCCACCUCUACUGUUUCAUAUUGUGAGAGGAAAUCAAAGGAAUCCCAAGUGAUGAGUAAUCUCAAGUCAUUCUU